ACGGAGGGUGCGAGCGUUGUCCGGAAUCACUGGGCGUAAAGGGCGCGUAGGCGGCAUGCCAAGCGUGUGGUGAAAGCCCGGGGCUCAACCCCGGGUCGGCCGUGCGGACUGGCGUGCUCGAGCACUGUAGGGGCGGGUGGAAUUCCGGGUGUAGCGGUGGAAUGCGUAGAGAUCCGGAAGAACACCGGUGGCGAAGGCGGCCCGCUGGGCAGGAAGACACCGCAAGGUGUCGGCUGACGCUGAGGCGCGACAGCGUGGGGAGCAAACAGGA
rnacentral:rRNA from 1 species